UGACCUGCAAAUAUUGGCCCUACCUGCAAAGAUUUACAAAAAGCUGGCCAGAGCUCCAGCACCUCCUUACCAUGAAGCCAUUCCUUUCUGUAUUUCAUGCCAAAGCCCAUGAUUUUAAAUGUGAGGUAAGAAAAUGUUGCUAUGUGACAGAACCACAUUAUCUUAAACCAAACAUCUGCAAACAUCUGGUUCUUUGUUUAUUUAUGUUUCUUACUCAGGUGAAAUGGAGUGGGGCGUAUCAGGAUGGGGCUGGACUAACACUAGGGGAGGAGGUGGAACAGUGCAAUGCCUUCCUCUCUAGGAUUGCAGUGACGACAAAACAUAUGUCAAAAGCAGGACACACAGACAUGCUGACUCUCAUGGCCAUGCGCUGGAAUCAGCAAAAGUUCCGAAAUUUGACAGUUUCACUGACUCGCCGAUUUCAGAAGACCAGAAAAGCUCUGCAAAGCCAGUUACAAAACCUAGAGUCCUUGAAAGCCCAAUUGGCAGUGACAGAGAGCCAACUGGAAGACUGGGUCAGUGAUGUAAAGGAGUGGGCAGACGCAAGAGUAACAACCACAAAUGAUACUGAUGGCUUGGCCAGCAGAAUUGAGGUCCUGGUAGCGAGUAUCAAGAGACGUUCCCAUCGGCUCUACAAAGAUACCGAUGGGAACAAAGGUCGUGCCAGAAUCCGCCGCAAGAUCAGGAGGAGAAGGGCAUCCUGACAUCUGUUGUAGAGAAAUACAACAGAAUGGUUCCAAGCACAGAAAGUCUUUGCAUGGAAACCAUUCUGUCUGGUGAGACAGCUUGGCCAUGGCAGCUACCACACAGUGACUCUGUCGAUCUAAGGACAAAAAGAAGAGCGUUUGACAUCAUCAUGUCAGUAAGAAGACUUGAGGUGGAGCUGAAGAUUCUUGUGGCAGAGAUGGACCACCACUGGAAAUCUCUUUCAACUCGUGCCGAUACCCUCAGAGAGCUGUCCCACAUGUUUGCCAGUGAGACAAUGAGAAAUUCACCAUGUGGCUUAAGUGAAGAGGGUUUGAAAGGUCUGCAGAGCAUCAUCCUGAGAAAGCAACAUAAAGUCAGAGAAAUGAAGGUGCAAGCAAGAGACUGUUACCUGCAAGUUUUGUCUGGAGAAGGCAACAUCAACUUUUUGUACAGUGCUUCAGCUGAUGAGUAUGACAGUGACUGUGAUAUGUCUGAUGACGGACUGUAAUCCACAAGACUGUGACAUCUUUCAUCGUUCUGGAC